CCUACGGGAGGCAGCAGUGGGGAAUAUUGCACAAUGGGGGAAACCCUGAUGCAGCGACGCCGCGUGAGUGAAGAAGUAUUUCGGUACGUAAAGCUCUAUCAGCAGGGAGGAAAAUGACGGUACCUGACUAAGAAGCCCCGGCUAACUACGUGCCAGCAGCCGCGGUAAUACGUAGGGGGCAAGCGUUAUCCGGAUUUACUGGGUGUAAAGGGAGCGUAGACGGCAGCGCAAGUCUGGAGUGAAAUCCCAUGGCUUAACCAUGGAACUGCUUUGGAAACUGUGCAGCUAGAGUGCAGGAGAGGUAAGCGGAAUUCCGAGUGUAGCGGUGAAAUGCGUAGAUAUUAGGAGGAACACCAGUGGCGAAGGCGGCUUACUGGACUGUAACUGACGUUGAGGCUCGAAAGCGUGGGGAGCAAACAGGAUUAGAUACCCUUGUAGUC
rnacentral:rRNA from 1 species